rnacentral:rRNA from 1 species
CAGCCGCCGCGGGAAAACAGAGGGUGCGAGCGUUAAUCGGAUUUACUGGGCGUAAAGCGUGCGUAGGCGGCUUCUUAAGUCGGAUGUGAAAUCCCUGAGCUUAACUUAGGAAUUGCAUUCGAUACUGGGAAGCUAGAGUAUGGGAGAGGAUGGUAGAAUUCCAGGUGUAGCGGUGAAAUGCGUAGAGAUCUGGAGGAAUACCGAUGGCGAAGGCAGCCAUCUGGCCUAAUACUGACGCUGAGGUACGAAAGCAUGGGGAGCAAACAGGAUUAGAUACCCCGGUAGUCCAUGUCUCUUAUAC